rnacentral:rRNA from 1 species
AUAUCAAUAAGCGGAGGAAAAGAAACCAACAGGGAUUGCCUUAGUAACGGCGAGUGAAGCGGCAACAGCUCAAAUUUGGAAUCUGGUGUCCUCCGGCACCCGAGUUGUAAUUUGUAGAGGAUGUUUCUGGCGUGGCACCGACCGAAGUUCCUUGGAACAGGACGUCAUAGAGGGUGAGAACCCCGUAUGCGUUCGGCUGCCAUCGCCUCUGUGAAGCUCCUUCAAAGAGUCGAGUUGUUUGGGAAUGCAGCUCUAAAUGGGUGGUAAAUUCCAUCUAAAGCUAAAUACCGGCCAGAGACCGAUAGCGCACAAGUA